CACGGACUCCGGGACCGACAGUGCCUCCAGGGCCACUCCCUCGGGGUCCAGCUCCACAUUCUGCAGCAGACUAGGGUUCAGAAACUUUCGGAGCCGAUCAGGGCCAAUCAACGAGUGGCGUUUGGGGGCUCGAGCCAAUCAGGCUGGGCCGGAAGCGCACUUCUCGGCCGGGGCAGCAGUUGUUGCUUUCGAGUUGUCCCUGCUGAGACGAGCGGAGCAGAGAAGGAAGGGGGGAAGGAAGACAACGGGGUACCGCCACGGACUUCUCGGUCCUAGGAAAAGACGCGAGCACAGUACAGGCUUAGUUCCGCCCGUGGGAAACGAGAGUGCAAGGAAUGCCCCUAUGGUUGGGAAUUAGAUCUGGGUACGAGCGUGGACGAGGAAGAACCUCGGAUGUGAUUUUAGGAAUUCUAAACUGACUUUAGUGGGCAAGUCGCUUCAUCUCGGGAUCUGUUUCAUUGUCAAAUAAAGAGUUUGAACUAAAUCGGGGAGUUCUUAACUGGGGGUCCCGCAAACAAAACAUUAACUGUGGAUAUAAUUUAAUUUUUCAAAUGUUUUCAUUUAAAAGCAAUUUUAUGAGAAGUUUUCACAGGUUGCGUUCUCAUUUCUCCCCUGCCCCGCGUGGAAUACUCCCCAGUUCUGACCACGUACCUGCCCUGCUACCUUCAAAUCCCAACUAAAAUCCCACCUUCUACAGAAGGCUUUACCCAACCCCUCUUAAUUCUAGUGCCUUCUCUCUGCUAUAUAGCAUAACUAGAACGUUGCAUGGUGAGCAUCUGGGUGGUCAGAGACCUUUUAUUUGCCUUUUUUUUUUAAUCCCCUGAAUCUAGCACAGUGGAGCCUGAUGUUUAUUGAAUUGAAUAUUGUCAAAAUCUUUUCACAAAGUUAAGAACUUCUGGACUCGAGAAAAAUUUAAAGCAACACAACAAAAACUUUUAAGAGAAAUAACUUCGAAACUAAUGAAUGCAAUCAACUAACCAUGUCUCCAGAAGACCUGGAAAUAACUUUAAAGGUGUGAUAUUUGUUCAGACACAAGAUGGGAAAGGGAACAUACAUUUUAGAUAAUAGCCAUUGGAUGGAUUAAUUUUGAUUGUGUUAAACUCCACCUGCUGCCCCUUUUAUGUUUAUAACUGGGAGGAAGAAAGGGAGGUAAGGGGGAGUUAAUGAUUUUAAUAAUGUCUUAAAGGGCUCUUGUAAUAUUUUAAAUUCACAUAGUAGUUCACAUAGUAACAUGACAAGCAGAACUGCUUUGAAAGAAUUAUGUAUUUAAAGCAAGUAGUGUGAAGUAGAAUUCAAAGUUUCAUUUGCAGUCCUGUUGGGGGGAGCAUGUUUUUGAAAAUUCAUUUUGUUCUUGAAACUUAGCAAUAAAUUAUUAUAAAAGAA